rnacentral:tRNA from 1 species
GGGCGAUUAGCUCAGCAGGUUAGAGCGCUGGUUUCACAUACCAGAGGUCAGCCGUUCGAAUCGGCUAUCGCCCACAA